UACAGAGGUCUCAAGCGUUGUUCGGAUUCAUUGGGCGUAAAGGGUGCGUAGGCGGCGCGGUAAGUCGGGUGUGAAAUCUCGGGGCUUAACUCCGAAACUGCAUUCGAUACUACCGUGCUUGAGGACUGGAGAGGAGACUGGAAUUUACGGUGUAGCGGUGAAAUGCGUAGAUAUCGGGAGGAACACCUGUGGCGAAAGCGGCGCACUGGACCACAACUGACGCUGAGGCGCGAAAGCUAGGGGAGCAAACGGG
rnacentral:rRNA from 1 species